AACAACAUCCUGGUGCUGAGUGAUGACACACGCAACUCCAGCAUCAGUGAUUUUGUUGA
rnacentral:pre_miRNA from 1 species